GAAUUUCUCAAAUUGCUAGUUAAAAAUGAGUUUUUAAGAAUCUGAAUACUAUGAGCUUUGAAACAACCAUAGAAGAGCAUGUAGUGGAUAGAUAGAUUCUGAGAAUUAUAGAUUUGUUUCCAAAAAUUGGAGCAUGUUCCUUUCGAAGAGGAUUUCCUAUUCUGGAAAACAUUUAUUACGGUAGUUGGUUUUUGUUGAUGCUAGUAGUGUCAUGUCUGGUAAUUGCUAAAUUCGAGUUAGCAGAGUUAGUUGAUUCAAGAUCCAUAAUGUCACUUUGGCAAAAUUUAUGAAAUAUGAACAAAAUGCUUUUAUUAUCUAUAUUUCUUGUUGAUUUUCUGCAUCUAUAAACAAUUCCUUUCUUUCUCCUAAGCAGGGGAAGGUUCCAGUAAGAACAAUUCAUUUCUGAACAAUUUCUUUCUGCAUCUAUUAACAAUUCCUUUCUUUCUUCAAAGUACAUGCUGAGGGAUAUUGGAGAAGAGCAGCUGUCAUUAGUUGGCUGGCUUUGCUGCUGGCUCUUGGUGAUAGGAAGGGUAUUAACCGGUUUGGUAAUUUCUCUGCUCCACUUGAUGAAGCAUUAAUACAUGUUUCACUGAGCCAAUAAUGUUUAGAGAGAAUGGCAAAUGUGUGGAGUAAAAUCACAUCAUGUGGGUCGAUGAUUUGCAACCUCUUCAAGUACUCUCUCUUUAAAGCAUUUGAGUUUGGUUAGGUACGUAGUAACAUCAAAUGAAGUGGUACCAGCAAAGGAAAGAAAGAAAGAAGGUAGUCUUUGCCUUGUAAAGAGGAGAUGCUCUUGCAUUUAAUUGUAUUACUUUAUGAAUUUUUACAAUCCGGCCUUAAAUUUAUAACUAUUUCUUCAAUUCUCAAUUUAA